rnacentral:piRNA from 1 species
UCAGUUUCACAACUUCCACUU